CAACUGCUCACGAUUCAGUCUGAACAUGUCUCACUCAGCCAUGACACCCAGGAGACAGGGCCUUCAAGCUUGAUUCUGUAUUCCCCUUCCCCUGAUACGAUCACAUGUAAUAGAUGCAUGUGAAGCUAUGGGAAGAAAUGAGGUGGUUGAGAACAAGAGUGAAUGGUGAGAAGGAACCAGGACUGACCCCUGUAGGACACUAACAGUCAGAGGCCAGAGACAGGAGGCACAGUCAGCAAGGGAAGCCAAGAAGAAGUGAUGAAAGAAGUAGACAGAAAAUCAGGAGAACAGGACUCAGAAGUCAAGAGACAAAAGUGCUUCAGCCUGGAGGGGGAGGCCAGCAGGAUCAAAUGCUGCUGAGAGAAUUCACAUAUGAAGCUGACUAAAAGAUACACAAUGGACUUGGCAACAGAAAGAUCAUUGGUGACUUUAGCAAACUUCCGUGUCCAUGAUCAGCUCUGUUCUCCUGGAAACCUGAUAAAGGUGGAACGUUGGCUGUGUUACCAAGCAACAAUGCUUGUGGUAAAAAUGAUCCACUUCAUCUGGACAGCGAGGGCCGUGAAUGAAUCAUAAGUACCUGGUGGGAAGCUGUGGCUCUGGAGUUCUGAAUCUUGACUCUUGGAGCUCGGCACGCCCCUUGAGGAGACAAGGAAGC
rnacentral:lncRNA from 1 species